rnacentral:pre_miRNA from 1 species
AACAGGGUGUGAUGUCAGUUAUUCGAAUAAAAUAAAAUAACUCUCAGGUUCACCAUGUUC